ACAUACAAACUUUUGACUACAGGCAGUGAACAGGUCAUCGUUGCUCGAGGAUGAAGGAACAUGAAUGAAGAGCAACAAUACAAGAACAAAAUCUGAAAGAAAAGAAAAGGCCGAGGAAUUCAUUCUGGCAAGAGGAAGUAGCAUAGGAGAAAUGGACUUGUGUGCUAGCAAAAUGGGCUUGGUUGUUGAUUUCAGGGAUAGUUUCGAGGAUAAAGAGAUG
rnacentral:lncRNA from 1 species